UUGAGGAAGAUAAUGACGGUACUCAACAAGGAAGUGACGGCUAACUACGUGCCAGCAGCCGCGGUAAAACGUAGGUCACAAGCGUUGUCCGGAAUUACUGGGUGUAAAGGGAGCGCAGGCGGGAGAACAAGUUGGAAGUGAAAUCCAUGGGCUCAACCCAUGAACUGCUUUCAAAACUGUUUUUCUUGAGUAGUGCAGAGGUAGGCGGAAUUCCCGGUGUAGCGGUGGAAUGCGUAGAUAUCGGGAGGAACACCAGUGGCGAAGGCGGCCUACUGGGCACCAACUGACGCUGAGGCUCGAAAGUGUGGGUAGCAAACAGGAUUAGAUACCCUGGUAGUCCACACCGUAAACGAUGAUUACUAGGUGUUGGAGGAUUGACCCCUUCAGUGCCGCAGUUAACACAAUAAGUAAUCCACCUGGGGAGUACGACCGCAAGGUUGAAACUCAAAGGAAUUGACGGGGGCCCGCACAAGCAGUGGAGUAUGUGGUUUAAUUCGACGCAACGCGAAGAACCUUACCAAGUCUUGACAUCCCUUGACGAUGCUGGAAACAGUAUUUCUCUUCGGAGCAAGGAGACAGGUGGUGCAUGGUUGUCGUCAGCUCGUGUCGUGAGAUGUUGGGUUAAGUCCCGCAACGAGCGCAACCCUUAUGGUCAGUUACUACGCAAGAGGACUCUGGCCGGACUGC
rnacentral:rRNA from 1 species